rnacentral:rRNA from 1 species
AACCGGAUUAGAUACCCUGGUAGUCCACGCCGUAAACGUUGGGCGCUAGGUGUGGGGCUCAUUCCACGAGUUCCGUGCCGCAGCUAACGCAUUAAGCGCCCCGCCUGGGGAGUACGGCCGCAAGGCUAAAACUCAAAGGAAUUGACGGGGGCCCGCACAAGCGGCGGAGCAUGUUGCUUAAUUCGAUGCAACGCGAAGAACCUUACCUAGGCUUGACAUGCACGGAAAUCUCCCAGAGAUGGGGGGUCCGUAAGGGCCGUGCACAGGUGGUGCAUGGUUGUCGUCAGCUCGUGUCGUGAGAUGUUGGGUUAAGUCCCGCAACGAGCGCAACCCUCGUCCUAUGUUGCCAGCACGUCAUGGUGGGGACUCAUAGGAGACUGCCGGGGUCAACUCGGAGGAAGGUGGGGAUGACGUCAAAUCAUCAUGCCCCUUAUGUCUAGGGCUGCAAACAUGCUACAAUGGCCGGUACAAAGGGCUGCGAUACCGCGAGGUGGAGCGAAUCCCAAAAAGCCGGUCUCAGUUCGGAUUGGGGUCUGCAACUCGACCCCAUGAAGUUGGAGUCGCUAGUAAUCGCAGAUC